rnacentral:rRNA from 1 species
GAUGAACGCUGGCGGCGUGCCUAAUACAUGCAAGUCGAGCGAACAGACGAGGAGCUUGCUCCUCUGACGUUAGCGGCGGACGGGUGAGUAACACGUGGAUAACCUACCUAUAAGACUGGGAUAACUUCGGGAAACCGGAGCUAAUACCGGAUAAUAUAUUGAACCGCAUGGUUCAAUAGUGAAAGACGGUUUUGCUGUCACUUAUAGAUGGAUCCGCGCCGCAUUAGCUAGUUGGUAAGGUAACGGCUUACCAAGGCGACGAUGCGUAGCCGACCUGAGAGGGUGAUAGGCCACACUGGAACUGAGACACGGUCCAGACUCCUACGGGAGGCAGCAGUAGGGAAUCUUACGCAAUGGGCGAAAGCCUGACGGAGCAACGCCGCGUGAGUGAUGAAGGUCUUCGGAUCGUAAAACUCUGUUAUUAGGGAAGAACAAAUGUGUAAGUAACUAUGCACGUCUUGACGGUACCUAAUCAGAAAGCCACGGCUAACUACGUG